rnacentral:rRNA from 1 species
GCUAACUCUGUGCCAGCAGCCGCGGUAAUACAGAGGGUGCAAGCGUUAAUCGGAUUUACUGGGCGUAAAGCGCGCGUAGGUGGCUAAUUAAGUCAAAUGUGAAAUCCCCGAGCUUAACUUGGGAAUUGCAUUCGAUACUGGUUAGCUAGAGUAUGGGAGAGGAUGGUAGAAUUCCAGGUGUAGCGGUGAAAUGCGUAGAGAUCUGGAGGAAUACCGAUGGCGAAGGCAGCCAUCUGGCCUAAUACUGACACUGAGGUGCGAAAGCAUGGGGAGCAAACAGGAUUAGAUACCCCUGUAGUC